rnacentral:misc_RNA from 1 species
UUAACGAUUUAGGUUGGACUCGGACGACACGUUGACAUUCAGGGUUGAGGGUCCUCUGGCGGGCACACGCCAGCGCGGGGCCGGCGGCCGGACGGACGGCCCGCCAAGGCAACAAAGGUAGGUAAGCAGGGUGGGAGGUCUACCCCGGGGGGGCAUGAACUCGGUAAUGAUCCUUCCGCAGGUUCACCUACGGAAA